CCCAACACCCGGAGCCACUGUGGCUCCGGCCGGUUGCGCUGGCCCUCGGGCCCUCAGGGAGGCGAGGGUGCGAGGGCAGAGGAGUCCCUCCCUGUGUCCACCACCAUCACAAGCCCAGGGCAAGUACUGCUAGAGGGCUGCCUAUGAUCAGAUCUUCUGAGAACAUCAGAGAAAGACUGUCCUUGCAAUCUACACUACAGCAAGACUUCAGGACCUUGAACUUCAGGUUCAUAAUCUCACAACUGAGAAGGAUCCUUCCACACUCUUGGAACAGUGCACCCAUUGGAACUCUGAAGGUUAAGCUCACCAGGAAAGUUUCUCUCCAGAAGAAGAUAACACCCUUAAUGUGAACAGCUUUUCCCAAAAUCACGGAUUGAAACUUCUCUACACUCACGAGACUCUUAUCUUUGAAUAUUUUCCCUUGGUUAUGCUUCUGUGAACAAUAGACGUGAAAAGGGAGUCUGUUGUGUGCACUUAUGGGGCACACUUUUAUGUGUGAAGGAUUUUUCAGCCAGCCUUAUAUAUGGAUGACCUUAUAGUUUAAGAGAUAAAAGACAAAGACCCAAUGCAGUGUGAUAGGCAACCUUGAAAUGGCCCCAGAUAAUCCCUGCCUCCAGACUAACAAAAUGAUAUUUGUGUCCAGAACCAGUUAAAGAGCUGUGGCAGUUCUAAGAACUUCCACCAAGAUAAAGCAUAUUCUGAAAGCUGGUUGCCAGAGAAACCAAUCAGCGAUAAAAGAAUUGGGACUUUCAGCUUCACCUUCUCUACCUCUGGGGAGGAAAGAAAGGGCAGAUAUUGAGCUCAAUCUCCAGUGGCUACUGGUUUAAUCAAUAAUGCUUACAUACUGAAGCUUCCUUAAAAACCCUAAAUGAAGGAGUUCAGAAAACCCCAGGUUCACCACAAUGAUGAAGACAUUCAUGUGCCUAGAGAGUAGCCCACCCUAACUCAGUGGGGCAGAAACUCCUGUGGUCAGAACCCUUCU
rnacentral:lncRNA from 1 species